AAAGUAGUCCCUCCGUCCCAAAAUGCUUGUCUUAGAUUUGUCUAGAUACGGAUGUAUCAAGUCACAUUUUAGUAUUAGAUACAUCCGUAUCUAGACAAAUCUAAGAUAAGAAAUUUGGGACAAAGGGAGUAGUUG
rnacentral:pre_miRNA from 1 species